CUCAUUAAAUCAGUUAUAGUUUAUUUGAUGGUCUCUUUGUUCUUCUUUUUACCUACUUGGAUAACCGUGGUAAUUCUAGAGCUAAUACAUGCGCAAGGUCCCGAGCGCGGAGAGUGGGGCUUCACGGCUCUAUUCUUGCAUGCGUAGAGGGAUGUAUUUUAUUAGGUUAAACAACCAGCAUUUUUCAAUCAUCUGGUGAUUCAUAGUAACUCUUUCGGAUCGCAUUCAUG
rnacentral:rRNA from 1 species